rnacentral:rRNA from 1 species
GACGAACGCUGGCGGCGUGCCUAAUACAUGCAAGUAGAACGCACAGUUUAUACCGUAGCUUGCUACACCAUAGACUGUGAGUUGCGAACGGGUGAGUAACGCGUAGGUAACCUGCCUGGUAGCGGGGGAUAACUAUUGGAAACGAUAGCUAAUACCGCAUAAUAUUAAUUAUUGCAUGAUAAUUAAUUGAAAGGUGCAAUUGCACCACUACCAGAUGGACCUGCGCUGUAUUAGCUAGUAGGUGAGGUAACGGCUCACCUAGGCGACGAUACAUAGCCGACCUGAGAGGGUGAUCGGCCACACUGGGACUGAGACACGGCCCAGACUCCUACGGGAGGCAGCAGUAGGGAAUCUUCGGCAAUGGACGAAAGUCUGACCGAGCAACGCCGCGUGAGUGAAGAAGGGUUUCGGAUCGUAAAGCUCUGUUGUAAGAGAAGAACGGGUGUGAGAGUGGAAAGUUCACACUGUGACGGUAUCUUACCAGAAAGGGACGGCUAACUACGUG